UACAGAGGGGGCAAGCGUUAUUCGGAAUUAUUGGGCGUAAAGGGCGCGUGAGGCGGCUUGGCAAGUGGAUGGUGAAAUCCCUCGGCUUAAACCGAGGAACUGCCGUCCAAACUGCUUAGCUUGAGACCGGGAGAGGUGAGUGGAAUUCCCAGUGUAGCGGUGAAAUGCGUAGAUAUUGGGAGGAACACCAGUGGCGAAGGCGGCUCACUGGACCGGUACUGACGCUGAUGCGCGAAAGCGUGGGGAGCAAACGGGG
rnacentral:rRNA from 1 species